AAAUUGAAGAGUUUGAUCAUGGCUCAGAUUGAACGCUGGCGGCAGGCCUAACACAUGCAAGUCGAGCGGUAGCACAGAGAGCUUGCUCUCGGGUGACGAGCGGCGGACGGGUGAGUAAUGUCUGGGAAACUGCCUGAUGGAGGGGGAUAACUACUGGAAACGGUAGCUAAUACCGCAUAAUGUCGCAAGACCAAAGUGGGGGACCUUCGGGCCUCAUGCCAUCAGAUGUGCCCAGAUGGGAUUAGCUAGUAGGUGGGGUAACGGCUCACCUAGGCGACGAUCCCUAGCUGG
rnacentral:rRNA from 1 species